UACGGGGGGGGCAAGCGUUGUUCGGAAUUACUGGGCGUAAAGGGCUCGUAGGCGGCCAACUAAGUCGGACGUGAAAUCCCCAGGCUCAACCUGGGAACUGCGUCUGAUACUGGAUGGCUUGAAUCCGGGAGAGGGAUGCAGAAUUCCAGGUGUAGCGGUGAAAUGCGUAGAUAUCUGGAGGAAUACCGGUGGCGUAGGCGGCAUCCUGGACCGGCAUUGACGCUGAGGAGCGAAAGCCAGGGGAGCAAACGGG
rnacentral:rRNA from 1 species